UGUGAUGGUCUAAAGGACUGAAGUUCUAAACGGUUGAAAUGUUUGCAGCAUGUAUUACUACAGGAAAUUGUAAAAGUAUAAGUUACAACACAGUAAGGUUGGCAUAUUUGUGAAUAU